ACUUUGAAAAAAUUAGAGUGCUCAAAGCAGGCGCGACGCCUGGAUAAUGGUGCAUGGAAUAAUGGAAUAGGACCUCGGUUCUAUUUUGUUGGUUUUAGGAACACGAGGUAAUGAUUAAGAGGGACAGACGGGGGCAUUCGUAUUGCGACGCUAGAGGUGAAAUUCUUGGACCGCCGCACGACGAACUACUGCGAAAGCAUUUGCCAAGAAUGUUUCCAUUAAUCAAGAACGAAAGUUAGAGGUCCGAAGGCGAUCAGAUACCGCCCUAGUUCUAACCAUAAACGAUGCCAGCCAGCGAUCCGGCUGUGUUCCUCAAAUGACACGCCGGGCAGCUUCCGGGAAACCAAAGCUUUUGGGUUCCGGGGGGAGUAUGGUUGCAAAGCUUAAACUUGAAGGAAUUGACGGAAGCGCACACAAGGAAUGGGGCCUGCGGUUUAAUUUGACUCAACACGGUGCAACUCUCCUGGCCCGGACACAGGAAGGAUUGACAGAUUGAGAGCUCUUUCUUCAUUCUGUGAUAGGUGGUGCAUGGCCGUUUCUGGUUGGUGGAGUGAUUUGUCUGCUUUAUUGCGAUAACGAGCGAGACUCUAGCCUACUAAAUAGACGGUGCGAUCCUUCUGAGUCGCACGUUCUUCUUAGAGGGACAGGCGGUGUUCAGCCGCACGAAACAGAGCAAAAACAGGUCAGGAUGCCCUUAGAUGUUCGGGGCCACACGCGCGCCACAUUGAAGGAAUCAGCGUGUGCUUUCCCUGUCCGACAGGACUGGGUAACCCGUUGAAACUCCUUCGUGCUGGGGAUAGGGGUUUGUAAUUGUCCCCCUUGAACGAGGAAUUCCCAGUAAGCGCGAGUCAUCAGCUCGUGUUGAUUACGUCCCUGCGCUUUGUACACACCGCCCGUCGCUAUUAUCGAUGAAUUUUGGAGUGAGAUCUU
rnacentral:rRNA from 2 species